rnacentral:tRNA from 1 species
GGGUGUGUGGCGUAAUGGAUAACGCGUCUGACUUCGGAUCAGAAGAUUCCGGGAUCAGAAGAUUCCGGGUUCGAAUCCCGGUGCACCCC